AGAAAUAUGUCUGAAAAAAGAGUUACUUUGAUGGAGUAAACCAUGAAGGUUUGAACCCUUCUAUUUCUA
ensembl:Mt_tRNA